rnacentral:rRNA from 1 species
AACGAACGCUGGCGGCAGGCCUAACACAUGCAAGUCGAGCGCGCCUUCGGGUGAGCGGCGGACGGGUGAGUAACGCGUGGGAAUAUGCCCUUCUCUACGGAAUAGUCCUGGGAAACUGGGGGUAAUACCGUAUACGCCCUUUGGGGGAAAGAUUUAUCGGGGAAGGAUUGGCCCGCGUUGGAUUAGGUAGUUGGUGGGGUAAUGGCCUACCAAGCCGACGAUCCAUAGCUGGUUUGAGAGGAUGAUCAGCCACACUGGGACUGAGACACGGCCCAGACUCCUACGGGAGGCAGCAGUGGGGAAUCUUAGACAAUGGGGGCAACCCUGAUCUAGCCAUGCCGCGUGAGUGAUGAAGGCCUUAGGGUUGUAAAGCUCUUUCAGCUGGGAAGAUAAUGACGGUACCAGCAGAAGAAGCCCCGGCUAACUCCGUG